rnacentral:tRNA from 2 species
GGACUCAUAGCUCAAUUGGAUAGAGCAUCGCCCUUCUAAGGCGACGGUUAUAGGUUCGACUCCUAUUGGGUUCA